ensembl:rRNA 5S_rRNA 5S ribosomal RNA
AUCUAUGGCCAUGCCACUCUGAACAAGACCAAUUCCAUCUGAUCUCAGAAGUUAAGCAGGAUAGGGCCUGGUUAGUACUUAGAUGGGAGACCACCUAGAAAGACCAGGUGCUGUAAGCA